GACGAACGCUGGCGGCGUGCUUAACACAUGCAAGUCGAACGGAAAGGCCCUGCUUUUGUGGGGUGCUCGAGUGGCGAACGGGUGAGUAACACGUGAGUAACCUGCCCUUGACUUUGGGAUAACUUCAGGAAACUGGGGCUAAUACCGGAUAGGAGCUCCUGCUGCAUGGUGGGGGUUGGAAAGUUUCGGCGGUUGGGGUUGGACUCGCGGCUUAUCAGCUUGUUGGUGGGGUAGUGGCUUACCAAGGCUUUGACGGGUAGCCGGCCUGAGUCGGUGACCGGCCCCAUGGGGACUGAGAUAGGGCCCAGUCUCCGACGGGAGGCAGCAGUGGCGAAUAUUGCACAAUGGGAGGAAGCCUGAGGCAGCAACGCCGCGUGCGGGAUGACGGCCUUCGGGUUGUAAACCGCUUUCGCCUGUGACGAAGCGUGAGUGACGGUAAUGGGUAAAGAAGCACCGGCUAACUACGUG
rnacentral:rRNA from 1 species